rnacentral:lncRNA from 1 species
GCAUGAGUCAUAUCAGAAAAUAUGAGAAAUCAACAUCCUGAAAUAACUUGAAUUGAGAUUUGUUUAAUGGUAGGAUGGAGCAGUAUCUCACAAAGUGAAAGCUUUUUAUUAACACUGAAGAAAAUACAACCAUCAUCAGACUUCGCAAUUAUAAGCUAUUCCUUAAGCCACAGAAAGAAGUGAAGAAAGGAAGAGGGGAAGACAGAAAGAAAACAAUUAUCACUUGGUUUAGUGACCACGUGUGUUGAGGACAGG